CCUACGGGAGGCAGCAGUGAGGAAUAUUGGUCAAUGGGCGGGAGCCUGAACCAGCCAAGCCGCGUGAGGGAAGAAGGUACAGCGUAUCGUAAUCCUCUUUUGUCAGGGAACAAAGGCGGGGACUAGUCCCCGGAUGAGGGUACCUGAAGAAAAAGCAUCGGCUAACUCCGUGCCAGCAGCCGCGGUAAUACGGAGGAUGCGAGCGUUAUCCGGAUUUAUUGGGUUUAAAGGGUGCGCAGGCGGUCUGUUAAGUCAGCGGUCAAAGCCCGGGGCUCAACCCCGGCCCGCCGUUGAAACUGGCAGUCUCGAGUUGGAGAGAAGUAUGCGGAAUGCGCGGUGUAUCGGUGAAAUGCAUAGAUAUCGCGCAGAACUCCGAUUGCGAGGGCAGCAUGCCGGCUCCACACUGACGCUGAGGCACGAAAGCGUGGGUAUCGAACAGGAUUAGAUACCCCGGUAGUC
rnacentral:rRNA from 1 species